rnacentral:misc_RNA from 1 species
AUGGCAGCACAGAAGAGAGUGAUUCCGAAAUUGCUACUGUUGACUCCUGCAGUGUUAGCUUAAAUGAAGGAAGCAGUGUGGAAUCUGGGUGUAAACCUGUAUAUAAGUGUGCUGUUCAAGGUGUAUCGGAGGUUGAGUUGAGCCAUAGGCUCGAGUUCCAAAGUAGUGCAGUAAUACUCAAGAAGAAACGGAAGCCAAAUAGAAA